AAGUUGGGCGCCGGCGACUGGCGGGGGCAGAGGGCCGGGCGCUCCCUCGGGCUCGCGCAGGUGCUCGGGCCUGGCCGGGCUGGGACCGCAGGCGCCUCUCCCGCGCUCGCCUAGCCCGGGCUGCCCCCGCACGCCCACGCCCCAGGUGUCCGGGCGCGCUUUACCCAGGGGCGCCGUGCCCAGGCCAGGAGGCCAGGGCGGAGCGGGUUUAUCUGCGUAUCCUGGCGAAGUUUGGAUGCAGAGAACUUGGAGCUGUUGUUUUCUACCAGACACUAGGAUCCCUGAGAGAGGUGUCAUUCUUUCGCGCUGCACACACCUUCCUCCACGUGGUGAAGAUACAUCGCUCCUGACAGAGAUGGGGUUUCACCGUGUUAACCAGGAUGGUCUCAAUCUCCUGACCUCGUGAUCCGCCCACCUUGUCCUCCCAAAGUGCUGGGAUUACAGGCGUGAGCCACCGCGCCCAGCCGAACUUGAGUCUUCUUAAUCAAGCCUCAUGCCUGACUGGACACUGAAAAAGAGGUGAAGAGAUGAGGCGAUAGAACAAAAGAACAGAAAGAUAAUGAAGCUGAGACUAACAUAAUUAUGUAUGCAGCCACAAAUGGAGCACAAAGCAAUUACUGCUUGUGGGAAUUUGAGAGAUGCUCUUUGAAGAGGUGUGAGGGAAUCAGUAAUACUUGCAGUGACUUUUAAGGAGGUGGAGUGUGCUGAUGAAGAUGCCACAAAGAACUGAUGGGAAGUUAUUCCUCUCCCCAACUGCUAUUGUAUCCUUCCUGUAGUGCUGUCUCUGCUUUUUGCAUCUUGCCCAGUAUAUUAUGACACAAAUAAAAAUUCUCUUUUCAUCAUCUUGCAA
rnacentral:lncRNA from 1 species